UACGUAGGUGGCGAGCGUUGUCCGGAUUUACUGGGCGUAAAGGGUGCGUAGGCGGAUGUUUAAGUGGGAUGUGAAAUACCCGGGCUCAACUUGGGUGCUGCAUUCCAAACUGGAUAUCUAGAGUGCGGGAGAGGAGAGUGGAAUUCCUAGUGUAGCGGUGAAAUGCGUAGAGAUUAGGAAGAACACCAGUGGCGAAGGCGACUCUCUGGACCGUAACUGACGCUGAGGCACGAAAGCGUGGGGAGCAAACAGG
rnacentral:rRNA from 1 species